UUCAACUUGACAGAGCCACAGACCAUGGAUUAGUCAAUGAGGAUUGAUCGAUGUCUAGUGAGAACUUCAGGGGAGGAGUCCAGUCUCAAGUGCAGCUGGUGGAGUCUGGAGGAGAUGUGCGAAGACCUGGAGGGUCCCUCCAUCUCUCCUGCCAAGCCUCAGGAUUCACCUUCAGCAACUAUUGGAUGGGCUGGGUGAGACAGGCUCCAGGGAAAGGACUGGUAUGGGUUGCAAGCAUGGAUACAUCUAGCACUUACUACUCAGACAAAGUGAAGGGUUGCUUCACCAUCUCCAGGGAUGAUGCCCAAAGCCAGCUGUAUCUGCAGAUGAACAGCCUCAAAGCUGAAGACAUGGCCAUCUAUUACUGUACGAGAGACACAGUGAGAGGAAGUGAAUCUGAAGGAGAUCUCAUUCAGAAAAAAAAAAUAGGAGUCCAGUUUUAA